UAGCGUAUAUUAAAGUUGUUGCGGUAAAAAAGCUCGUAGUUGGAUUUCUGUUGAGGACGACCGGUCCGUACCACGUACGCGCAUCUGGCUCGGCCUCGGCAUCCUCUCGAUAGACGUUUCUGCGCUUGAUUGCGUGGAGCGGAUUUCGGGACUUUUACUUUGAGGAAAUUAGAGUGUUCACGGCAGGCAACCGCCCGAAUACAUUAGCAUGGAAUAAUACUAUAGGAUCUCGAUUCUAUUUUGUUGGUUUCUAGGAUUGGGAUAAUGAUUAAUAGGGACAAUUGGGGGCAUUCGUAUCAACACGUC
rnacentral:rRNA from 1 species